GCUUCUUAGUCGCUGGGUGUAGACCCGAAACCGAGUGAUCUAUCCAUGGCCAGGAUGAAGGUGCGGUAACACGCACUGGAGGUCCGAACCCACUAGUGUUGCAAAACUAGGGGAUGAGCUGUGGAUAGGGGUGAAAGGCUAAACAAACUCGGAGAUAGCUGGUUCUCCCCGAAAACUAUUUAGGUAGUGCCUCAUGUAUCACUUCCGGGGGUAAAGCACUGUUAUGGCUAGGGGGUCAUUGCGAUUUACCAAACCAUGGCAAACUCUGAAUACCGGAAAGUGCAAGCAUGGGAGACAGACGGUGGGUGCUAACGUCCAUCGUCAAGAGGGAAACAACCCAGACCGCCAGCUAAGGUCCCAAAUGAUCAGUUAAGUGGUAAACGAGGUGGGAAGGCAUAGACAGCCAGGAUGUUGGCUUAGAAGCAGCCAUCAUUUAAAGAAAGCGUAAUAGCUCACUGGUCGAGUCGUCCUGCGCGGAAGAUGUAACGGGGCUCAAACUGAUAACCGAAGCUGCGGAUGGGCACAGUCAAAUGUGUCCGUGGUAGGGGAGCGUUCUGUAGGUCUGUGAAGGUGGUGGUGUAAACCCUGCUGGAGAUAUCAGAAGUGCGAAUGCUGACAUGAGUAGCGAUAAAGGGGGUGAAAAGCCCCCUCGCCGAAAGCCCAAGGUUUCCUACGCAACGUUCAUCGGCGUAGGGUGAGUCGGCCCCUAAGGCGAGGCUGAAAAGCGUAGUCGAUGGGAAACGGGUUAAAAUUCCCGUACUUUUAUGCAGUGCGAUGUGGGGACGGAGAAGGUUAGGUCAGCCAACUGUUGGAAUAGUUGGUUCAAGCCGGUAGGCUGGUGCGGUAGGCAAAUCCGCUGCACCUUAAGGUCGAGAGGUGAUAACGAGGUUCUACGGAACUGAAGUGACUGAUACCACGCUUCCAGGAAAAGCCACUAAGCUUCAGCUGCAUAAGAACCGUACCGCAAACCGACACAGGUGGGCAGGAUGAGAAUUCUAAGGCGCUUGAGAGAACUCAGGAGAAGGAACUCGGCAAAUUGAUACCGUAACUUCGGGAGAAGGUAUGCCUCUGCGUGUGUAGUGACUUGCUCACGAAGCGUGCAGAGGUCGCAGAGAAUAGGUGGCUGCGACUGUUUAUCAAAAACACAGCUCUGUGCCAACACGAAAGUGGACGUAUACGGAGUGACGCCUGCCCGGUGCUGGAAGAUUAAAUGAUGGGGUGCAAGCUCUUGACUGAAGUCCCAGUAAACGGCGGCCGUAACUAUAACGGUCCUAAGGUAGCGAAAUUCCUUGUCGGGUAAGUUCCGACCCGCACGAAUGGCGUAACGAUGGCCACACUGUCUCCUCCUGAGACUCAGCGAAGUUGAAAUGUUUGUGAAGAUGCAAUCUACCCGCUGCUAGACGGAAAGACCCCGUGAACCUUUACUGUAGCUUUGCAUUGGACUUUGAACAGACUUGUGUAGGAUAGGUGGGAGGCUAUGAAGUGGGAACGCUAGUUCUCAUGGAGCCGUCCUUGAAAUACCACCCUGGUGUGUUUGAGGUUCUAACCUUGGUCCGUGAUCCGGAUCGGGGACAGUGCAUGGUAGGCAGUUUGACUGGGGCGGUCUCCUCCCAAAGUGUAACGGAGGAGUUCGAAGGUUACCUAGGUACGGUCGGAAAUCGUGCUGAUAGUGCAAUGGCAAAAGGUAGCUUAACUGCGAGACCGACAAGUCGAGCAGGUGCGAAAGCAGGACAUAGUGAUCCGGUGGUUCUGAAUGGAAGGGCCAUCGCUCAACGGAUAAAAGGUACUCCGGGGAUAACAGGCUGAUUCCGCCCAAGAGUUCACAUCGACGGCGGAGUUUGGCACCUCGAUGUCGGCUCAUCACAUCCUGGGGCUGUAGCCGGUCCCAAGGGUAUGGCUGUUCGCCAUUUAAAGUGGUACGUGAGCUGGGUUCAAAACGUCGUGAGACAGUUUGGUCCCUAUCUGCAGUGGGCGUUGGAAGUUUGACGGGGGCUGCUCCUAGUACGAGAGGACCGGAGUGGACGAACCUCUGGUGUACCGGUUGUGACGCCAGUCGCAUUGCCGGGUAGCUAAGUUCGGAAGAGAUAACCGCUGAAAGCAUCUAAGCGGGAAACUUGCCUGAAGAUGAGACUUCCCUGGGCCCUUGAGGUCCCUGAAGAGUCGUUCGAGACCAGGACGUUGAUAGGUCGGGUGUGGAAGCGCUGUGAGGCGUUAAGCUAACCGAUACUAAUUGCUCGUGAGGCUUGAUCCU
rnacentral:rRNA from 1 species